rnacentral:rRNA from 1 species
AUUGAACGCUGGCGGCAUGCCUUACACAUGCAAGUCGAACGGCAGCACGGGGCAACCUGGUGGCGAGUGGCGAACGGGUGAGUAAUGCAUCGGAACGUGCCAUUGAGUGGGGGAUAACGUAGCGAAAGUUGCGCUAAUACCGCAUAUUCUGUGAGCAGGAAAGCAGGGACCGCAAGGCCUUGCGCUCUUUGAGCGGCCGAUGUCAGAUUAGCUAGUUGGUGAGGUAACGGCUUACCAAGGCGACGAUCUGUAGCGGGUCUGAGAGGAUGAUCCGCCACACUGGAACUGAGACACGGUCCAGACUCCUACGGGAGGCAGCAGUGGGGAAUUUUGGACAAUGGGCGCAAGCCUGAUCCAGCCAUGCCGCGUGAGUGAAGAAGGCCU